rnacentral:lncRNA from 1 species
CAGUCAUAAAUGCUUUCUGGAAUUGUACCAUUGAAGUUGUUCACGAGAAGAUCAAUUAUCAUUAGAUUAGAUAGGCUGGAAAAGUUGAUCUUGCCAAGGUCUCCACUGAGGUAGUUGAUCUUGAGGUCGAGGAUUUUGAGAUUUGUGCAGUUGCCUAAAGUUAAUGGCAGCUCUCCAUACAUAUUGUUGUGGCCCAAAUGGAGUUCCUCCAAUCUCUUGAGCUGACCUAUCGAGUUGGGUAUUUUGCCAAUAAACAUAUUCCUUUCGAGAUCUAGGAUUGACAAUUUUCUGAGUUUUAUGAUAUUGGCAUCAUCAAGUACUCCAUUUAGAACAUUGUCUGGGAAAGAAAGGUACUCCAACGAUGAAGCAUUGAAUAGUUCAUCUGGGAGAGCACCAUGGAAGUUGUUGUGGCCACCCUUGAGAACUCUAAGCAUCGAGCAAUUGCCUAUGUCCUGGGGUACGCUACCGCCAAAUCGAUUGAAAGAGAGGUCAAGCUCAGUGAUGGAUGGUGCACUGAUGCAGAAAGAACUUGGUGCCUGUCCCGUAAAGCUGUUGUUACUGGCAUUCAGAGCCACCAGAUUGUUCAUCACCUUCCAUGUGUUUGUUGGAAAUUGUGCUGUAAAUAAGUUGCUCGAGAUGUUGAGUACCUGCAGAGGCCGGAUAGUUGUUUCACUUAUUUGAGCUGAGAACUCCUGCAGAGCUCCACUUAAGUGAUUGAAGCUGAUGUCAAGGAUGACGAGGCUGGUUGACGACACCAACUCCUCCAAUGGAAGUUCACCGGAGAGCAAAUUGUGGGACAGGUUGAGGCGCAUCAGGCCGGUGAGGUUGCCAAGGUAUGGUGAGAUGUGCCCUUCAAGGCCCUUAGAAACCAGCGAAAUUUCGGUGAUCGUUGCAUCUGUGCCGCAGGUGAUCCCUUCCCAUGUGCAGCAAUCCGUGUCAUUCUGCCAUGACACGGCGAGGCCACCGUCCUCCGAGAGGCCGGCAAGGAACUGGAGGAAGAAGCUCUUCUCAUGAUCUUUGCAGGAGCUGGUGGAAGAGGCUAAACUCAGUAAUAGCACAACAGCAAACCCAAGUAAAUCCAUGGGAAAUUUGCUGCUGCUUCUGCUGCAUGGAAACUGGGAAGGUCUCAUGGUGGAUUUUUUUUUCUUCUCAGAAUGGGUACAGUUUGGAUAGAUCACUAUGCAGUAGUAUUAUAUUGAGUAAAGAUACUUUAGAGGUGAAUAAUAGCCACAGCCUGCAAUGCCCAUUUGCUACCGAUGGUUAGUUUCAGAAGAACUUUGCUACCGAUGGUCCUUGUUCAUUGAUUGCGCAGAAAGUAAUACCGAUGACUAUGUUAUCCCGUGCCUGUCCAAUUGUUGCAUUGGUUCAGACAACUGUGACGACCGCUGUUUCAAGCUUGACAAUUGACAAAACUAUGAAAAAUCCUGGUCGCCUCCUGCUGUCAUCUUUGCCUGUCUUCAGCCGCCAACACUGCAGCAAUAUCAGCUAAGUUCUUCUCUUUGUUUGUUUCCAUUUUUUCCCCUCGCUUUGAUUGAUGGUGUAAAAUUGAAGGUGCUAGCAACAAAUUUUGGUACCUCACACCCCAUCAGCAACUAAGUUGCUUGACCAUUUCUUUGUUGCUGCUGCUCUUUGCUCGACCUUCCUGGCCAAAGAAAAGCUAUUUUCUUUUGCAACCAUUCUUAGUUAAAUCCUUGUCACAUUGACAUUUUUACAUCAUCCUGAUGACUUCUCUUGGCUCUUGCAGCUUCAGAUGAUAGACGUGCUUGCUUGCCACCAAAAAGGAGAAAUGCAAGCAUAUGUUUCAUGAAACAGCCUGAGCUCAAUUGACCAAAGGCUGAAGCAACAUGCUAGGGGAAAAAAACAGUUGUUAUGUUUUUUAUCCAUUCAGUUAAAACUUAUAAGUAGUAAGCACAAGAGAGGCAGCAAGGCCAGCAAAAUUCAGAUGACUACUCAGAUGCAGCAUGAAAGUGGAGUACAUAUCCUGACCUGGAACAUAUGGACAGGAUAUCAGGAUCUUAAACUGCCUUCAUGAUCCAGUCCAUUUUGACUGUGCGCAAGAGCCCUUUCUUGGCUAGCUGCUUCUCCCAAUUGAUUUUUGAGUGUCCCAACAUGCACUGUUUUACAACGAUCUACGUUGAGCAAUGAAUGUUUUACAAAUAAGUUCACAUCGGAAUAUACUUUGUUCCUAUUAUUAUUGCUUAUUACUCUCUUUGUUUUAUAUUAGAGUAAAUUUCAUCUUGAACCACCUAUAUUGACCAAUGUGGCAUAAUGGGCUAGGGCUAAGUUUCUCUUUUCACUUAACACCACCUAAUUUUACAAUCUUUUUCAAGUUGGACCAAGUUUACGGCAUGGGCUGCGUUUCGGCCUAAUCCACGCGAGCAGCUGGUGUUUGCUCAUGGUGGCAGUGGUGCGCGAUACCAGGAGCGUGCGCGACGCGUUGGUGUGGUCAUCGGCGAGGGCGAGCAUGUCGUCGUCCAGUGGACACGGACUCUGUGGUGAUAACGCUCGGCCCUGUCGCGCUCAAAACAAUACUACGGCACAUCUGAUUACGUUGACAGGAUCUGAGACCAUACCAGAACUAUCCCAUUCAGAUCAUGCAUGUGAAUCAAGAUCCGAUCUUCUCUUUAAUUUUCUUGUGAAAAUUCGACAUGUUUCCGGUUACCAACCGAGGAACACGGAUUAAUUACUCUAGUUUUUUCGAAGAGCAGCAGAGGAAUAUUGAUUACCCCCACAAAACCCAAAUCUCAUAGGAAUUACUGAAUGCAUUGCUUUGUUUCACUCUCCCAAGCCCCAGGGUCAAAACUUUCCUCCAUGGAUUGCUCCAUGAUCGAAUCGCAGAUGCAUAUACCUGUCUACCUCAUAAACCCAACAAGCAUCCUAGCAACGAGGCAGCCGACGACCCCAGUGAUUCCAUCCUCGGGAAGCCAUCGAUCGAGGUGGCAUGGGCGUCCACCAGGCAGAGGCCCUUUGGCCUGACGCUGGCGACACGGUUGGAUGACGAGACUUGCUCCACCUUGGCGCCGGUGGACGGUGGACACGGUGGCGUUUGUGUUUCGAUUGUUGAGUUCACGCCGCUGCACAGCAGCCGUGUGUGAACAGAGACUUUUUUGGGUUGGGAAGGAAGUACUCGUACCAGAGAGGGAGGCAGAACCGCCGUCGAGGGAGCCCUCGCCGGAGCCCCGAGACGGGGACUGCCGACCGCUGGUAAACGCACCUAUUUGCGUGGGCCGAAGCCCAGCCUAGUGGGCCAAUCAGUAAACCUGGUUCAACUUGCAAAGGAUGGUAAAAAUAGGUGGUGUAAAGUGAAAAAAGUGACCCACCCCUAUCCCAAUGUGCAACUUAGGUCAAUAUAAGUGGUCUAAAGUGAAAUUUACUCUUUAUAUUAUAUAAGACACUUUGACUUUUUUUUCUUAAACUAUUUAAAAUUUGACUAAAUUUAUAGAAACACAACAACAUUUUUAACACCAAACAAAUAUGGUAUAAAAAUAUACCAAAAACUAAUUGGUGUUAUAAGAGUAGUUAUAUUUAUAUACCUCUAUAAUUUUGAUUUAGAAAAAAAAUAAAAUGCUUAUAAUAUGAAGAGGGUGUAGUGCUUAGGUUCCAGAAUCCAGCUAGGAACUGGAGCAGGUACCGAGGCAUCAGCACAAGAAAUAUGGAUAGUUUGUGGCUGCUGGACUGCUGGUGCUGGAUGAAUAAUUAUUUUUCCCCUGGAAAAGGACAUUGGUUUGGUCACAUCCAUGUGAUUUUUUUUUUCAAAAUUGUACUUUACUGCGUUUAAUUUUUUUUGGGCGAAAACUAACACGGUUGAUAUGGAUUGUUUUUUUUUCUCUCUUCAAAACAGUACUUUAUUGCGCUUGAUUUUUUUUUGGCAAAAACUAACACGGUUAAUAUGAUAUGGAGUGCUUGCGGUGGAAUGGAAUGACCAUGGCGCCACGCUGGGUGCAGUUGCCAUAUUUGUUCGUAGCGGCUUAAAAGUUAACGCUAAAAAAACUACAUUAAAAAUAUAUUAAAAUGCUUUGCAAAAAAAGAUUAAAAUUAAGUUUAAAAUUCAAAUUUAAGAUUUUGCUUUAACUUAUUAGGCCAAUGAGGUGCGGGCUCACCGGCCGCCGGCGAAGACAAGAGAGUGCUCCACGAGUUCACGGUAGGACGAUUUACGUGCGGCCCAUUUUUGUUGGGCCGUAACUGGAUUGUAACUAGAAUGCGGCCCAUAAUAGUUGGUCCAGGACGGGAUUUCGAUUACGUGAGGCCCAAAUAUGGGAUUAGUUGAGUAGGGCAAGGGCCCAAGACUUGGCCCAAUUGCCACAGGCACCGUCUCGUCGUCUCCGUGGCGACAGCGCCGCCGCUGCUCUGUCGCCGGCGGCCAGCGCAACCGCCGCCUCUUCGGCUCGCCGGCGGCGCGCGGGGACUCGAGGAAGGCCUCUGCGUCGCCGUCACUACUACCCAUAGCUCGAGUAUGCAACGCGUGGCCAUCUCCAUCUGCUCUCUAUUACUACUAUUUUCUUAGCGUGAAUCUGAAAAUUGAAGCGAUAUAGUUGCAGACGAUGGGGAUUCUCAAACUAUACAUACUAGUUCUGAUAGAGACAAAUUUGCACAUGAUUUUCACGAAUUUGAGUAGUGACCAUCAUUCAGAAUGCUCAAUCUGCACACCUGAGUUGUGGCAGCUAGAUUCUUGUCUUCAACUCUGUUCAUAGAGUUGGAAAAUUAAUAUGCCUUGAAGAGAUCUUAGCCUUUUUAGUACCAUCUGAUCUAAUAGCACACCAUAAGCAAAGAACAGGCCAAAUGUGAUGCCAAAGAUAACCUUGUCACCGAAUUGAUCUGUGGAUGAAGUAGGGCUAGGAAGUGCUCUUGCUGAAUUACAGUGGUGACUGAGCAUACCACCACAUAGCUUUGGAUUACCAGUGAAGCUUGAGUUGUCAAAUGUAUCAAACUGGCCUCCAGUUGGAAUAGCCCCUUCCAGGUCGUUGUUGUAAACAUUGAAUGCAGAAAGGAAGUUUAGCUUGUUCAGUUCUAAAGGGAUUGUGCCUGUUAGAUUGUUGUUAGACAAGUCUAGCAUGACCAGCUUGGUGAGGUUGCAGAUUGCUUGUGGGGUCUCCCCAGAGAAGCUAUUGAAGCUCAAGUUGAGCAUAUCGAGUGCCUUCAGCUGACUAAUCUCUGGCGGGAUCGCACCUGUAAAACCAUUUUUGGCUAUGUUUAUUGUUGUGUGGAUAUAUUGGUAUUGUCGGUUUUUGAUGAAUGGAAUGCCGUAAAAUCUCAUGUUUGGGACACUUACAUCCAGAUUGGUUCUCUUGUCUGACUUCAGCAUUGGAAUCUGCGUUAAUAUUGUUGGAAAUUCACCUGUAAGGUUGUUAUUGGAUAUGUCUAGAUAGAAGAGGAAGUUGAGGCUGUUGAUCCAGGCAGGCACUGAUCCGCUUAAUUGAUUAUUGGAUAACUGCAGCACCUUCAAUUUUGUGAGCUUUGAUAGCCAAAGAGAAAUUUUUCCAUGUAAAGAAGAACCACUUAUUUCUAGGUACUGAAGAUUUUCAAAACCAUCCAUUGUUUCAUCUGCUAGCAAUGUCUCAUGGUUGAAGUUCCCUCCAAGAAGUAGAGUUUUUAAGUUGCUAAAGCUCUUGAGGAUGUAAAGUGCCUUCGUGAUAUUCGUAAAAUCAUUCCAACCAACUGACAGGCAGGAAAGAGACCUCAGUCUGUCCAUUCUGUGUGAGAACUCACCAUGGAAUUUGUUCCACGAAAGUCUCAGUGCAAUCAAAUUUGUGCAAUCAUAAAUGCUUUCUGGAAUUGUACCAUUGAAGUUGUUCACGAGAAGAUCAAUUAUCAUUAGAUUAGAUAGGCUGGAAAAGUUGAUCUUGCCAAGGUCUCCACUGAGGUAGUUGAUCUUGAGGUCGAGGAUUUUGAGAUUUGUGCAGUUGCCUAAAGUUGAUGGCAGCUCCCCAUACAAGUAGUUCUCACCCAAAUGGAGCUCCUUCAAUCUCUUGAGCUGA